rnacentral:rRNA from 1 species
AGCGAACGCUGGCGGCAGGCUUAACACAUGCAAGUCGAGCGGGCACUUCGGCGUCAGCGGCAGACGGGUGAGUAACACGUGGGAACGUACCCUUCGGUUCGGAAUACCGCUGGGAAACUAGCGCUAAUACCGGAUACGCCCUUUUGGGGAAAGGUUUACUGCCGAAGGGUCGGCCCGCGUCUGAUUAGCUAGUUGGGAGGGUAAUGGCCUACCAAGGCGUCGAUCAGUAGCUGGUCUGAGAGGAUGAUCAGCCACACUGGGACUGAGACACGGCCCAGACUCCUACGGGAGGGAGGAGAGGGGAAUAUUGGACAAUGGGCGCAAGGCUGAUCCAGCCAUGCCGCGUGAGUGAUGAAGGCCUUAGGGUUGUAAAGCUGUUUUGUCCGGGACGAUAAUGACGGUACCGGAAGAAUAAGCCCCGGCUAACUUCGUG